CGGGCGCGGGGCCGUCACCGCGGGGAGGAGCCGCCCGCCCGCCCGCCGGCUCCCGCGGGGUGCGGGGGGACCGGGAGUGCUCGUCCCGCACUCGGAUCUUGGGGGUACCGGCCCCGCUCAUCCCGCGCUCUGAUCCCGGAGUACCUGGAGUGCUCAUCCCGCACUCUGAUCCUGGGUAUCGCACCGCUCAUCCCGCACUCUGAUCCCGGGUACCGCACCGCUCAUCCCGCACUCGGACCCCGGGGUACCGCACCUCUUAUCCCGCGCUCUGAUCCCGGGUACCGCACCUCUCAUCCCGCACUCUGAUCCCGGGUACCGCACCUCUCAUCCCGCACUCUGAUCCCGGAGGCAGAGUUUUUCAUGAAAACAACUGAAAAACUGGGGAUGGAGGUGAGGCCUCUUUGAAGAUUGGGUUAUAAAAGCUGUCUCAGACUGUUCCUGCCAGGAAGUGCUACCAUGUGAACUAGAAAGACUCCAGCAAGCCUACAUCCUUUUCAUACUUACAGUUUUACUAUCAUCCAAUAAAACAGGCAGCAGCUCCACCUCUGUGCCAAAAGAAAAGAACAAGCCUCAUAAGAUAGCAGGACUGCCGGAGAAGCCGAGUCAGGCUCACGUGGACCACGUUGCUGUUGCUGCUGGAGAAAGAAUAAAGGGCACAGAAAGGCAUGAGCCCUGCAGAUGCAGCUCCCUCCCAUGGAUUUUGCAUGUUCUAUAAAAUUUUAAGACGCCAAGUACCAAAAUCUUUUGCAGGAUGCCAGAGUUGUUGAGGUGAGUUUGAUGCUGCAAACCAGCAAGCUGCUCUUUGAGCUGUUCUGCUGCUUGACAAGCGACACAGGAACAGACAUGUGAACUUCCCAGCUCCUUUUUAAUGGUGUAUUAACAUCAAAGACUAGCUUUACAUAUUUAAAAGACUACAAAUUAGCAGACAUUUGUUUUGCACAGUCUGGCCCUGCUUGUUGCACUCACUGUCGUUAUUAAAAUGGAAAUGGAUGUUAAUCUGCAAUACAGGAGAACAUGGAUUGCAAAUUCUGGGCAUAUUAGAGAAUGCAUUUUAACCAAUAAAUAAUUAUCUCUGAAUAAAUAAUGCCCUUGGAAGUAGGAACUGCUCUCAUUCACCUCACCCAGCACCACACCUGUUCAGAGGGCAAAAAGGAGAAUGAAAUAUUUUAAAAGAGUCAAAGAUUAUUCUGCAUCACUUAACGCUGCAUAAUUCUCCAGAGUUUUCUGUUUCACAACUUCAUCAUCACAGAGCAGGGCCUACAUCAAAACCCUGGGACACAAAACAAACCCAGCUGUAGGAGAAAGCUACAGAUACACCUGGGAAUUUUCAGGCAAUCUUUACUGAUCCCAGUUCUAUGUGCAGUGCUUGUUUAUUUACUCUGCAGAUUCAAUUAUUCUGUUUAUACCUGAGCUUGCAAUUAGGAAAGAUAAGA